rnacentral:lncRNA from 1 species
UUCGUCUUUUUGGGGAAUUCAACUAAGUUUAAUCAAAAAAUUCUAAAAGUUAGAGUUAAACAACAAAUAAUAAGUAAUCGCAAUUAAAUAAUUAAAGCGUAAGGGAGAAAUUGAAUUUGGGCCUUUCUUGGGCCAAAUUCGCUACUUUUUUUGGGGUUUAAACAAAAUCCGUUUUUGGUAUACAGCUCAUGUAUAUCAGUGUAUAUCGGCAUGUAUAUCAGCUCUUUUCAUGUAUUUCUUGCUUCCGAAUAACUAUAUUUCACCUUAGCCAUGUAUUUCACCAUUUUGGCAUGUAUAUCAAUGUAUACUGUUGUAUACAUCAUGUAUACAGCCCAUUUCCGGCUUUGCGAGACUGUUAUUUCGCUUCUGAGACCUGUACACCAGCUUCCUUUUCACUGCAAAAAUGAGGACGACUCAAAAGACUCAAAGAUAUGCAAGGGUUGAGUCCGAAUAGACUCGAGUUGAUGUCAUCUUCUUUGGAGCAGGAAUGGGACGAACCAGCUUGAGC